CACUAGCUGCACACCCGCAUGUUCAUUCGUUUCGUUCGUCAAUUGGUGCUGUUUAUUUCUGAUCGAAAAACCCUUAAAACAUGGAUUUACCCGAUGAAAGGGACCCAAUGUAUUCGUACCUGAUUCAGAGUUGGACGAACAGAACAGCAGAUACUGGUACAGAACAAGAAACUACUCUGCCUCCGUCUAAAAGAAGAACUCCUACAUGCUCUUACUACGGUCAGGCAGGACACCGAAAUCAGUACAGAAAUGGAAAAUAUUUCUGUAAAAAAACGUCAAUAAGACUUGUCGCACGAUUAAUUAAUAAGUAAUCAAGUCGCCUACUUUCACUGGGGUGAGAUAAAUCAUCAAUAACUGGCCACCCGUAAAUUGACGCAUUGUAUUAUUAUUAUUGUGUCCAGUUAUGACGAUUUUAUACCCCAAUUGGUUUUUUUUUAGAUUGACAGCACGUUGAUUUAUCAUUAAAGAUUAUUUCAACAAAGACUUAAAUUAUAAUUAAUAGUUACAACUACAAAA